UGGGGAAUUUUGGACAAUGGGCGAAAGCCUGAUCCAGCAAUGCCGCGUGUGUGAAGAAGGCCUUCGGGUUGUAAAGCACUUUUGUCCGGAAAGAAAUCCUUGGCUCUAAUACAGUCGGGGGAUGACGGUACCGGAAGAAUAAGCACCGACUAACUACGUGCCAGCAGCCGCGGUAAUACGUAGGGUGCAAGCGUUAAUCGGAAUUACUGGGGCGUAAAGCGUGCGCAGGCGGUUUGCUAAGACCGAUGUGAAAUCCCCGGGCUCAACCUGGGAACUGCAUUGGUGACUGGCAGGCUAGAGUAUGGCAGAGGGGGGUAGAAUUCCACGUGUAGCAGUGAAAAUGCGUAGAGAUGUGGAGGAAUACCGAUGGCGAAGGCAGCCCCCUGGGCAAGUACUGACGCUCAUGCACGAAAAGCGUGGGGGAGCAAACAGGAUUAGAUACCCCUGGUAGUCCACGCCCUAAAACGAUGUCAACUAGUUGUUGGGGAUUCAUUUCCUUAGUAACGUAGCUAACGCGUGAAGUUGACCGCCUGGGGAGUACGGUCGCAAGAUUAAAAACUCAAAUGAAUUGAC
rnacentral:rRNA from 1 species